rfam:Schistosoma mansoni strain Puerto Rico chromosome W, complete genome
AGCCUUCUGAAUUCGUGGCGAGAUUUCGUCAGACAUCAGACCAUUGGUACUGAUGAGACUCCUAAGACAAGUGAAGCG